UAAUAUGAAACAUUUAUGUAAUUUAAUUUCGACUUAAAAUCCUGGAUUUAUAAAAUAUCCCAUAUUUU
rnacentral:tRNA from 1 species